CAAAAAAAAAAAAAAAAUAUUUACAAACAAAAUUAUGUCAUGUUAACAUCAUCAAGGAGAGGGCAAAGUUCACCAUCUGGUGAUCACUUCCCUUACACCCAGCAAAAAAAAAAAAAAAAUGUAACAUGAUACAUAGCAACAAGAUUUUAAAAUAACAUACAACACAUGGAGUCUCACCCUCAUUGUACAAUUAGCUAUUUCUAGAAGCAAAGAAACCAAAACAAAGUGAGACCAGAAGAAGUUUGUGA